rnacentral:rRNA from 1 species
GGGUGCGCGUGCUAUACUGCAGUCGACGCUUCUUUUUCCCCGGAGCUUGCUCCACCGGAAAAAGAGGAGUGGCGAACGGGUGAGUAACACGUGGGUAACCUGCCCAUCAGAAGGGGAUAACACUUGGAAACAGGUGCUAAUACCGUAUAACAAUCAAAACCGCAUGGUUUUGAUUUGAAAGGCGCUUUCGGGUGUCGCUGAUGGAUGGACCCGCGGUGCAUUAGCUAGUUGGUGAGGUAACGGCUCACCAAGGCCACGAUGCAUAGCCGACCUGAGAGGGUGAUCGGCCACAUUGGGACUGAGACACGGCCCAAACUCCUACGGGAGGCAGCAGUAGGGAAUCUUCGGCAAUGGACGAAAGUCUGACCGAGCAACGCCGCGUGAGUGAAGAAGGUUUUCGGAUCGUAAAACUCUGUUGUUAGAGAAGAACAAGGAUGAGAGUAACUGUUCAUCCCUUGACGGUAUCUAACCAGAAAGCCACGGCUAACUACGUGCCAGCAGCCGCGGUAAUACGUAGGUGGCAAGCGUUGUCCGGAUUUAUUGGGCGUAAAGCGAGCGCAGGCGGUUUCUUAAGUCUGAUGUGAAAGCCCCCGGCUCAAC